AAAGUCGUAACAAGGUAACCGUAGGUGAACCUGCGGUUGGAUCAUUAAAAAUGAUUUUCCUUGGCUGUUGAGCUCUUCCUUUUGGUGGAGAUCCGGCCGAGGGACUAACCCUUUGUGCACUAAUUAUUAUUUUUGGGUAGUAUCGGUUGCUUGCUUUGAGGUUUACUUUGAAGCGAGUGACUGGGCUGCCCGACCUUUUAACCAACCCUUCUAAUUUGACUGACUAUAUCUUAAAAAAUAUAAACAACUUUUGACAACGGAUCUCUUGGCUCUC
rnacentral:misc_RNA from 1 species